rnacentral:rRNA from 1 species
GGUUAAGUGACUAAGCGUACACGGUGGAUGCCUUGGCAGUCAGAGGCGAUGAAGGACGUGCUAACCUGCGAAAAGCUGUGAGAAGUCGGUAAGAGACGUUAGACUCACAGAUGUCCGAAUGGGGAAACCCAGUGUGUUUACACACUAUCGUAUGAUGAAUACAUAGUCAUACGAGGCGAACCGGGAGAACUGAAACAUCUAAGUACCCCGAGGAAAAGAAAUCAACCGAGAUCCCCUUAGUAGCGGCGAGCGAAAGGGGGCUAGCCCUUAAGUUGAUAGCAAUGCAGUGGAAUCAUCUGGAAAUAUGAGCGAUACAGGGUGAUAGCCCCGUACACGAAGCGUUGUUAUCAAUGAAAACGAGUAGGACGGGACACGAGACAUCCUGUUUGAACAUGGGGGGACCAUCCUCCAAGGCUAAAUACUCCUGACUGACCGAUAGUGAACCAGUACCGUGAGGGAAAGGCGAAAAGAACCCCUGUUAGGGGAGUGAAAUAGAACCUGAAACCGUGUACGUACAAGCAGUGGGAGCCUCCUUGUGGGGUGACUGCGUACCUUUUGUAUAAUGGGUCAGCGACUUACGUUUUGUAGCGAGGUUAACCGAAUAGGGGAGCCGUAGGGAAACCGAGUCUUAACUGGGCGAAUAGUUGCAAGGCGUAGACCCGAAACCCGGCGAUCUAUCCAUGUGCAGGUUGAAGGUUGGGUAACACUAACUGGAGGACCGAACCCACUAAUGUUGAAAAAUUAGGGGAUGACGUGUGGAUAGGGGUGAAAGGCUAAUCAAGCCGGGAGAUAUCUGGUUCUCCUCGAAAGCUAUUUAGGUAGCGCCUCGAGCGAAUACCAUUGGGGGUAGAGCACUGUUAAGGCUAGGGGGUCAUCCCGACUUACCAACCCUUUGCAAACUCCGAAUACCAAUGAGUACUACUCGGGAGACACACGACGGGUGCUAACGUCCGCCGUGAAAAGGGAAACAACCCAGACCACCAGCUAAGGUCCCAAAGUCAUGGUUAAGUGGAAAACGAUGUGGAAAGGCAUAGACAGCUAGGAGGUUGGCUUAGAAGCAGC